rnacentral:rRNA from 1 species
CCCUUAGAUGUCCUGGGCCGCGCGCGCGUUACACUGAUGCAUUCAACGAGCCUAUAACCUUGGCCGAGAGGCCUGGGCAAUCUUGUUAACGUGCAUCGUGAUAGGGAUAGAUUAUUGAAAUUAUUAAUCUUGAACGAGGAAUUCCUAGUAAACGCAGAUCAUCAAUCUGCAUUGAUUACGUCCCUGCCCUUUGUACACACCGCCCGUCGCACCUACCGAUUGGAUGGUCCGGUGAAGCCUCGGGAUUGUGGUUCUUGCCGCUUUAUUGUGGCGUGACCGCGAGAACUUGUCUAAACCUUAUCAUCUAGAGGAAGGUGAAGUCGUAACA